AUUGAACGCUGGCGUCAGGCCUAACACAUGCAAGUCGAGCGGAGCGGCGGACGGGUGAGUCAUGCCUAGGAAUCUGCCUGGUCGUUGGGGAUAACGUCCGGAAACGGGCGCUAAUACCGCAUACUAUCAGAUCAGCCUAGGUCGGAUUAGCUAGUUGGUGGGGUAAAGGCCUACCAAGGCGACGAUCCGUAACUGGUCUGAGAGGAUGAUCAGGCACACUGGAACGGAGACACGGUCCAGACUCCUACGGGAGGCAGCAGUGGGGAAUAUUGGACAAUGGGCGAAAGCCUGAUUCAGACAUGCCGCGUGUGUGAAGAAGGUCUUCGGAUUGUAAAGCACUUUAAGUUGGGAGGCGUUACCAACAGAAUAAGCACAGGCUAACUUCGUGCCAGCAGCCGCGGGAAUGC
rnacentral:rRNA from 1 species